GGGCGCCAGAGAGGGUGAG
rnacentral:snRNA from 1 species